rnacentral:rRNA from 1 species
UACGUAGGGUGCAAGCGUUGUCCGGAAUCAUUGGGCGUAAAGCGCGCGUAGGCGGCCCCGUAAGUCCGCUGUGAAAGUCAAAGGCUCAACCUUUGAAAGCCGGUGGAUACUGUGGGGCUAGAGUCCGGAAGAGGCGAGUGGAAUUCCUGGUGUAGCGGUGGAAUGCGCAGAUAUCAGGAGGAACACCAAUGGCGAAGGCAGCUCGCUGGGACGGUACUGACGCUAAGGCGCGAAAGCGUGGGGAGCGAACAGG